CUGCUGCCUUCCGUAGGAGUUUGGGCCGUGUCUCAGUCCCAAUGUGGCCGUUCACCCUCUCAGGCCGGCUACUGAUCGUCGCCUUGGUGGGCCGUUACCCCGCCAACCAGCUAAUCAGACGCGGGUCCAUCUUGCACCACCGGAGUUUUUCACACCGAGCCAUGCGGCUCUGUGCGCUUAUGCGGUAUUAGCACCUAUUUCUAAGUGUUAUCCCCCGGUGCAAGGCAGGUUCCCCACGCGUUACUCACCCGUCCGCCACUUAAG
rnacentral:rRNA from 1 species